AGACCCGAAACCCGGUGAUCUAGCCAUGGGCAGGUUGAAGGUUGGGUAACACUAACUGGAGGACCGAACCGACUAAUGUUGAAAAAUUAGCGGAUGACCUGUGGCUGGGGGUGAAAGGCCAAUCAAACCGGGAGAUAGCUGGUUCUCCCCGAAAGCUAUUUAGGUAGCGCCUCGUGAAUUCAUCUCCGGGGGUAGAGCACUGUUUCGGCUAGGGGGCCAUCCCGGCUUACCAACCCGAUGCAAACUGCGAAUACCGGAGAAUGUUAUCACGGGAGACACACGGCGGGUGCUAACGUCCGUCGUGAAGAGGGAAACAACCCAGACCGCCAGCUAAGGUCCCAAAGUCAUGGUUAAGUGGGAAACGAUGUGGGAAGGCCCAGACAGCCAGGAUGUUGGCUUAGAAGCAGCCAUCAUUUAAAGAAAGCGUAAUAGCUCACUGGUCGAGUCGGCCUGCGCGGAAGAUGUAACGGGGCUAAACCAUGCACCGAAGCUGCGGCAGCGACACUUUAGUGUUGUUGGGUAGGGGAGCGUUCUGUAAGCCGUUGAAGGUGUCCUGUGAGGGGUGCUGGAGGUAUCAGAAGUGCGAAUGCUGACAUAAGUAACGAUAAAGCGGGUGAAAAGCCCGCUCGCCGGAAGACCAAGGGUUCCUGUCCAACGUUAAUCGGGGCAGGGUGAGUCGACCCCUAAGGCGAGGCCGAAAGGCGUAGUCGAUGGGAAACGGGUUAAUAUUCCCGUACUUGGUGUUACUGCGAAGGGGGGACGGAGAAGGCUAUGUUGGCCGGGC
rnacentral:rRNA from 1 species